UUAUUGCACUUGCAGAAAGCUAUUGAGCAUUACCUUGCUCCAGGGUAUGUUUAAGAUUAGUCCAGAAGGCAAGGAGGGUAGGAUUGCACUAAUGGAGUGAGCUAAAUCAAGAAGUAUAGGUUUGAAAGAUUACUUGACAUUCAGAUACCAGCAAGGCUUUACUCAAUCUUAAUUCAUCAAGGCUUG